CUUUAGUGCAGUGGGCAGCAUGUCAGUUUCACAAGCUGAAAGUCCCAAGUUCAAUCCUUGGAAG
rnacentral:tRNA from 1 species